UGGAAGGUGAUCUGGUUUCCACUUAGCCAUU
rnacentral:piRNA from 1 species